CAGAUGUAUGCAGACUGUUUCCUGCUCCUUGAUGACUAUGACUGGCAGGAAGAACCGUUGGUCACCAUACACUUAGUGCCACUUAGCCCCAUUCCAAGAACUAGCACAGAUAAUGAAGCAGAGGAGGUGGAGGCUCAUGAAGAAACCCAGGCGGCUAAUACAUAAUCUACUGCAACCAAGACUCAAGAACAUGCUGGACCUGCUAGCAUGGGCAGUGGCAGCCAUGGACCUGUUUCUGAAGUGGGUACUUGUAAGUUUUGGGCAGUACGAGUGGUGCCCCACUGUUGCGGGGUCUGUUUCCAUGCCUGCUGGAAUUUUAUGCACUGCAUGGUGGGGGUGAGGAUGUGUACUUUCCUCCUCUUGGGGAGAAGGCAACCAUUGCUUUUUCCUUUGUUUAUCAGACACCAUGACCCAUGGCCACCUGGAGCAGGGCCCCAUGCACACUACAGCAGAGUGCUGCAGAGAUUUUCACAGCAAGCAGAGAUGGUCCC